rnacentral:rRNA from 1 species
GAAAUCUCAUAGCUUAACUAUGAAACUGCCAUUGAUACUGUUAGUCUUGAGUGAUGUUGAAGUUGCUGGAAUGUGUAGUGUAGCGGUGAAAUGCUUAGAUAUUACGCAGAACACCAAUUGCGAAGGCAGGUGACUAAACAUCAACUGACGCUGAUGGACGAAAGCGCGGGGAGCGAACAGGAUUAGAUACCCUGGUAGUCCACGCCGUAAACGAUGGAUACUUGCUGUUGGAUUUUCGGAUUCAGUGGCUAAGCGAAAGUUAUAAGUAUCCCACCUGGGGAGUACGUUCGCAAGAAUGAAACUCAAAGGAAUUGACGGGGGCCCGCACAAGCGGUGGAGCAUGUGGUUUAAUUCGAUGAUACGCGAGGAACCUUACCAAGGCUUAAAUGCAAUUUGACAGAACUAGAAAUAGUUUUUUCUUCGGACAGAAUGCAAGGUGCUGCAUGGCUGUCGUCAGCUCGUGCCGUGAGGUGUUAGGUUAAGUCCUGCAACGAGCGCAACCCCUAUCAUUAGUUGCCAGCGUUUAAAGACGGGGACUCUAAUGAGACUGCCGGUGCAAACCGCGAGGAAGGUGGGGACGACGUCAAGUCAUCACGGCCCUUACGUCUUGGGCUACACACGUGCUACAAUGGUAAGUACAGAGGGCAGCUACUUGGCAACAAGAUGCGAAUCUCAAAAACUUAUCUCAGUUCGGAUUGGAGUCUGCAACUCGACUCUAUGAAGCUGGAAUCGCUAGUAAUCGCAUAUCAGCCAUGAUGCGGUGAAUACGUUCCCGGGCCUUGUACACACCGCCCGUCAAGCCAUGGAAGCUGGGGGUACCUGAAGUCGGUGACCGUAAUAGGAGCUGCCUAGGGUAAAACUGGUAACUAGGGCUAAGUCGUAACAAGGUAGCCG